UACGGGGGGGGCAAGCGUUGUUCGGAAUUACUGGGCGUAAAGGGCUCGUAGGUGGCCAACUAAGUCAGACGUGAAAUCCCUCGGCUUAACCGGGGAACUGCGUCUGAUACUGGAUGGCUUGAGUUUGGGAGAGGGACGCGGAAUUCCGGGUGUAGCGGUGAAAUGCGUAGAUAUCUGGAGGAACACCGGUGGCGAAGGCGGCGUCCUGGACCAACACUGACACUGAGGAGCGAAAGCCAGGGGAGCAAACGGG
rnacentral:rRNA from 1 species